rnacentral:rRNA from 1 species
CACGUAGGGCGCAAGCGUUGUCCGGAAUUACUGGGCGUAAAGGGCUCGUAGGCGGCCAACUAAGUCAGACGUGAAAUCCCUCGGCUUAACCGGGGAACUGCGUCUGAUACUGGAUGGCUUGAGAUUGGGAGAGGGAUGCGGAAUUCCAGGUGUAGCGGUGAAAUGCGUAGAUAUCUGGAGGAACACCGGUGGCGAAGGCGGCAUCCUGGACCAACACUGACGCUGAGGAGCGAAAGCCAGGGGAGCAAACGGG